ACCUGAAUGGUAGCUCAGUUGGAAGAGCAUGAGACUCUAAAUCUCAGGGCCAUGUGGUUUGAGCCCCACAUUGGGCU